rnacentral:lncRNA from 10 species
AUCAUCCGCAGUUGGUGAUCAACUCAAUCUCCAGCCCCUCGCCCCUGUCCAGAGCUCAUUGAAUCGGGAGCCUUAAGAACCCCCCACCCCCAGUUGCUCUUUCUCUUCCCUCUGGCAUGGUGGCUAGAUCCCUAGGUGAUGAAGUGGAAGGAGGCCUCCUGCUGAUCCACGAUGAACCUACUGUGGGAAAGAACCAGAAAGAACAGCUGCCGCUUAGAGCAGGUGGUAUCUCAAGCCUGUGUGUUACUGCAGCAAAACCUAUGGCCGCCUGGGUCCUGACCACCUGAGGGGUACAGUGUUCUCAGGGGCGCAUUUCUGCCUUCACGUCCCUGAGCCUGGGGAAGUCCUGCCCAAACUCGGUUCUCCUGGAGUCUCUUUCAUCUUUGAGGCAACCACUACCUUUCCGUCAACUCCCUCUUCUGCUUCAGUUAACCACAGGUAGGUUUUGCUCCUUGCAACUGACAACCUGGGCUGAUGGAGGAAGCUGUUUCAGCUGUUAUCAAGCAACACCUCGAGCAGCAGACGUUUGGUCUCUUGUGGAUUGAUGAUGUCAGGAUGCUUCUGUCGGGCCGUGGGAUGGCUGAUGAGGCUGGAUUCCGAACAAGGAACAUCCUAGGGACACAGUGUCUGGAGAGGCAGUGAGGGAAGAGGAAAGAAAUGUCUGUGAAUAAUUGUACUGCAGCUUCUAAAACUCGGGACGGGAGUCAGAGAAAACAGCCCUGUGGCCUUCAGAGCCGCUUAAGUUGUCUGUGACUUGAGUUUUUCCACACAAUGACAAUGGUGCCUGCCUCUCCAUUUUCCCAGGAACGCUAAGCCAUCGAGCAAAGUGGUUUAGAAUGUGGGCGCAGGCAUCCGAGUGUCUGGCUUCAAAACUUCCCCAGCAAGUUACCGAAUGUGUAACCUUGGACGCGCUUUUUAUUUUCUCUAUACCUCAGCUCCUUAUCAAUAAAAUGAGGAUAGUAAUAUUAAUAGAAACCCUCUUCUGUGCAGAUGAGGUGAGGCAAUGCAUGUAAAGUUCUUAGCACUGGCCAGGGCUGGGCAAAGGCAGGGCUCACUAUGCAUUUAAGAGCUCAAAGCCCGGGUGAGCUGGCUCACGCCUGUAAUCCCAGC